UAAUCAACCUGCCCUUCANAGGGGGACAACAGUUGGAAACGACUGCUAAUACCGCAUACGAUCUAACCUCGGCAUCGAGGAAAGAUGAAAGGUGGCCUCUAUUUAUAAGCUAUCACUGAAGGAGGGGAUUGCGUCUGAUUAGCUAGUUGGAGGGGUAACGGCCCACCAAGGCGAUGAUCAGUAGCCGGUCUGAGAGGAUGAACGGCCACAUUGGGACUGAGACACGGCCCAGACUCCUACGGGAGGCAGCAUG
rnacentral:rRNA from 1 species